GGCUUCUGCUCUCAGAGCCCCCGGACACUGAGUUCAUGAGGAUAGACCCCAGGAUAUUAGUGCUCUGCUCCAAGUAGAUCAUCAACAGGAGUCCAUUUAUUCCGCACCUGAAGGGGAAGAGGACACUCGACAAGCAGGAGGUAUCUGGAGAGGGCUGCACUGGAGCAGGCCAGAGGAUUCAGAACACAGGCAUGACAUGACCAUCCUCACAAUGAUGCUAAGGAGCUGCAGAUCUACAGAAGACCUCGUCCCACAAUCAUCACAAUAGGGAUCAUACAGCUGAUAGUGUGGGCACACCUGAUGCUAAACCGAAGACAGAACCGCAGUAUAUAGGACAGGUGUCAGCUGUGGGUCUCAGACAGGACUUGAGACAGCCACAGCACUUAGAAGACAGCCAGCAGUAUAUCCCGCUGAUGCAUAAAGGAACACUGCAUGUCGGUACUACCCGUAUGCCAAUGCUACACGGUAAGAACUGAACUUCAUGGCCUAAAUUUACAAUUGGAAGAUGGUGGAGACUGUGAAGUUGCUAUACUCAGAGUCACCUGCAGCCAGCCUAAAGCCCCGUGUCUUCUCCCCUAGAGCUCCCUGGAGCAGGAAAUGUGAACACUUGGCUCUCUGGUGCUCUGGUGCAAAGAGCUGUGCUCAAAAACCUGGAAGAUGUUCAACCAGUAUUGGUCAAACGAGUAAACAGGAGUGGGAAGUCACUUUAGGUGAGUACCCGAGCGUCACACAAAAGAUGGGCUGGGAAAUAAUUAGAAAUGUAAAAUGUUUCAGGCUUUGAAGUGAGUCGUCAGGAAUAUUGUAAAUAGCCUUUUUAGCACAUAUUUAUUUUGGAGCUGCAAAUAAUGAAAGGACAAAAUGGGAAAUAAAAAUAAGGAGAACAGAUGACAUGGUUAAUGGCAUAAAACAACCUAAACAAAGCAAACAGCGUCAAGCAUAAAGAGGAGGACAAUUGCAUUUCCGUUGGCUUUUCGAGGAAAAGAAAGAGACAUAGGCUUUCUAGUCUCGGCAUCACAAAUCUGCAGUCAGAAGUAAGAGUAACCGCUUUAUGUGCAUCAGCCAGGUGUAUUCUUCCUGAGUCUAUUGCUAUAGAUUUUUCCCAUCCACAAUGGCUAAGCCAGGUUUGGGGGCUUCUCAUGUAGUGAGUAGAGAAUAGGGGUGUAGAGGUGAGCAGACUGCCCCUGUACUCAGCUUCCCACUUGCCACAUAGCUCUUGUGCAUACACUAUUGUUCAUCAGAGAAGAAAAUAGCCUGCUGGAGAAAUGAUUACGUUGUGUUAAUUUCACAGAACUUAUGACAGUAGAUUAUUUUAAAUUUAUAGACAGCUCAACAAACAAGGAUGUUCUUUUUUUAUCCAUAAUGCUCCUUUGUAUGUAUUCAUGCAAAGGUUCAUAUGUAUCCUGUCUGCUUUGUUCUUUUUAUAACACUCCCAGGUAGUCAAGACUGGCUGUUCACUGAACUCUAGAUACUUGCUUAUGUCUUCCUCUCUGCUUAGAGAUUAUAACCUCAUGAGAUUAUGACACAUGGCUAACCCUAAAAAAUAAGCAUUUUACCAACUGAUCCAUCAUCUUCCUAACUCCUAUAAAACACAUUUAAUGUUUGUUGUUCAUUUGUUGUAAAUUGAUGUCUCCCUAUUGGUCCACCUGGGGAGACUAUAACUAUUACUUGAGCUUAGGUUGCCCAUCACUGCAAGUGUUGUCUUAUUCCUCACUGUUCAGAAGCUAUGAGGUCCUGACCCUGAAGAAGACAUGGCCCAUGAUCAUAUUGUGCAUGUCAAGACACUCUUUCCCCACUCCUGGUGCCAUAGGAUUCUCCAGAGAUAGGUGAGCCUCAGGAGGUAGCACAGAGACAGCUCUGGGAUAGGAAAGACUGAGAGAUGGGCUCAAAUCUUCAUCUGAGCCCAGGGAUGUGUGCCCAGGUAUUGUAGACAUGCUGUCCUUCCCUUCCUCUGGCAUUGGACCCACUACAGUGCUUGUGUGCGGAGGGCGCUUAGAGCAUGGAAUAGGUAAACACUGCUUAUUGACUACUGGAAUUUUAAUCCUUUGAGUUUUAUAGAUGUACAGCCAGGACAUACCACCAUCUUCAUAUCAUACAACUAAGGAUGUUUCUGCAUGUUUUAGACAAGCAAUACUUUCUCACAGUGAGAACCUCCAGGGCCUCUCUAUUCAGCACAUCUUUCAGGAUUUAUGUAUUUCUAAAGAAGUAAAUUUCCGUGUGUCAGUAACCUGAAUCAGUAAAUUUACCUUUAAAUUCUCUGUAUAAGAUUUGGAUUUGCUACUCAUGUAUGUAUGCACACAAACAGACAUACCACAUGGAAAUCCCUUUUUCUGAGCCCAGUGGUUAUAGGGCUAUUAGCCCAGCUACUUGGAAGCUCAAGACAAAAGGAGUGCAUGGUCAAAGCCUGUCUAGUCUCAGAGUAAGUUCACAGCCAGUCUUGAAAAUUUAGCAAGGCCUUGUCUCAAAGCAAAAUGUAAGAAUAAAGGGUUUGGUGAGAAAGCUCAGUGGUAGAAUGCUGGCCCAGAAGGUUCAGUUCCUAGUACCACAGCACACACAUAUCGCCGCCUCUCUCUUGGACAGAGCUCUUUUGUAUUGAAGACAAUGCUUUCCAUCUAAUUCCAAUUACAUAAAAUACAUUUAAAUGUAAUAUCUAGCAGUAGUUUGCCUAGAUAUAAUAGUCAUGUAAAGAAGCCCAUAAAAUGGCCUAAUACAUUUUCUAGAGCUCUAUGUAGUUGUAUGUGUGCAUAUACACUGUCACCAGCUCACUCUAAGAGCAUUCCAUCAAAUGGAACACUGUUCCCCAAGCUCAAGAUGCUCCCUUAUAACUGCUGGUAGGAGUCACUAUUCAGACUCCCAACACCAUCAGUUUGGUCUUUUCCUUGAACGGGAAUCAUGCAAUUUUAUGUUUGAAACACAAUCUCAUGUGGCCCAGGCUAAUCUUGGACUUUCUUUUUAGUUAAAGCUGUCCUUGAACUCCGAAAUCUAGCUUCUACUUCCCACGUGCUGGGUCACAGGUGAGUGUCACCUUGCCUGGCUGUGCCUAGAUUCUUUCUGUCAAUACAACUUUUAUGAGUCUGAGUUGUGCUAUUUAUCAAGUGAAUUCUAAUGAACCACUAGAUCCCUAAGCAAUGCAUGAGGUAAAGGGAAAUUUGGAGACCUCCCUUUUUCUCAGGUCACACCCAGAAGGUCCACCACACAGGUGCACUUCCUCAUGCACACAGGGCAAGCCACCCACACUUGCCCAACCUUGUAUGCAGAAACUUGAGACAACAGAGUCAGUGAUUAGCUCCGUGCAAUUAGGCAAAUCACUAAUUCCAUCCAGGUCUCUCAAACAUGAAUAUAUUAACAGCACUGCCUAACACAUUUGCAGUGGUGACUGAAUGAAGUGGCCCAUGUGGAAUUAUUUCUAACAGGGACAUCCCCCAAAUCACAUCCUUUUCUUAAAUAAAGAAAAAGUGAGGCAAACCAUUGGGGCUCCACACCACCCACUCUGACACAUCAACAAAAAGUUUUUGUUUUAAACCCUUUGCUCUACACAGGAACUAUGGUGUUCAUAGCACCUAACUUGCUGUGUGCUACAUUAGUUAAUAUACCCCAACUGUGUAUGUCCAUUUGUUUACUGCUAGUGUAGACAAAAAUCCAUGACAUUUGUUACACCAAGAAACUAAAGAACGAUGUAUACAGGUGAUAGAAGAACAACGGACAACUCUCUGGCAAUUUUAAACAAGAGGGCACAAAUAUCUACCUAAUUCAGUAGUAGCAUGGGCUGUAUUAAAUGUGAAAUAUUAAUGGCUCUGCAGCAGGAAGAGGAAGAGAGAUGUCCUUAUCUCACUUUUAUUCGUGGGGCUCCAGUUAACACUGGGAGUUAAUCGCCUAACAUAUUCACAUGAAUAUUGAAAGGGAAUGCUUUGUUUGCAUAUGAAAUUAUCUCAUACCAGGGAAAGAGAAGGAACUCUUCCCAAGAAUAUUAAAAGGGGUAAGGAACUCCACAAGGUGGCCAGACUUAAGAAAUAGACUGGGAUUACUCAUUGCUUAUUGUUUUUUCUUCUCAACAUGGAUAUAGAAAUGACACAAAUCCCCUUUUCAGCCAGAAACUCACAGAUAGAAUACAUAGAAUCCACGAGAGGCAGGACAGGAUUUGCCUGGAGGGCAGGGGUGAGGUGAGUAAAGAUACAGAAGCCUCAAGUACAAGGUUACUUGUCCAUCGUCUGUCUCUGAAUAGGUGAAUUGGGGAUUUGGGUGUCUGGUAAUUCAUCUUAAGGCUCACAACAAAUAGGCUGUCAUUGUUGUUAGACAGAGAUCAUGACCUUGCUGAUAUUAGGGCAAAACUAAGAAGACUUAGUGUAAAGCCAAUAUUACCAAAUCAGUAUGGGAUUGGCAGAAACAAGGAGAAAAACAGAUCAUUUGGAAAUACAAAAACAAAAACAAAAAACCUUGGAAAUAGCCCAUUCUUUAUGGAAAAUAUCAUAUGACACAGGUGUAGCACAUUAUGAACAUAAAUGUGGCCUUUCUAUGUGAGGAUCUACAAUGGAAAACACAGUGUCAGACCAACUUGGAAUGAUAUAUGCAGAUAGACACUUCAUAUCUAGUAAAGAACCAAUGUUUUAAGAAGCUGUAAGUGCAUUGGGGAAGCUAUGGGUAUGAUCAUUAUUGAGGACUAUGAAGAAUUCCUAGAUGCCAUAGGAAAGAAAGUUACAGAAUGGAUAGAUUUGUCUACAUUACAAAAAAAAUCAUCACUAUGUGAGAAAAGGCCCCAGAUGCUCAGACGCUUUGUAAGCAGACUAAGUAGAUGGGGAGGAAACACUUGCAGCAUGAAGACUAUCACCAUUCCCAUGUAGAAAGCCUCAAAUUUGAUAAUAAAAA
rnacentral:sRNA from 1 species